rnacentral:lncRNA from 1 species
CCAGCCAAACUAGCCAUGGAUGUCAGAAGGGUAGACUUUACCAUGAAUAGUUCUUCACUAGUCUUAUGCAUCUCCUUUACACCUUUUUUAUUACCCUUACAUGAAUGAUCAAGUGGUGUGGGAGUUGAAGGCAUGAGGCAAUUUCACUGUUAAUCCUAUAUUAAUGCCUCAUAGAAGAUAGAUUUCUUCCCUAAGACCGUUUGUCCAGUCGAGUAUGGAAAUGCAAGGCACCACAAAGGGUAAAGGCCUUGUUAUGGUUGUUAAGCCAAUAUAAAGUUCUUUCUAUUGAAAAAGUGGAGUUAUUGUAACAAAUGUAUGCAUCCUAUGUAAAAGGGUGUUGAGACUAGUUCCCAUCUCUUCUUGCAGUGUCCAAUAGUUACAAAUAUAUGGAAAUAGAUCCUAUAGAAGAGCACUGUGUAAUGCAAUGUGACAUUAAAAGUUUUUUUGGGCAAGCAUGGUCGAUGCCUUUCCCCGAAAUUGGUCUUAGCUUGUGGAGAAUUGUAAUUGCAGUAGGGAAUAUAUGGAAGGAAAGGAACCAUGUGAUAUUUGAUGAUAAAGCAAGGGGAAUAGAGCAACUAUGUAUAGCCAUACUCACAUCCAUAAUCUCUUGGGCACAAGUUAGCCUACCUUCAUGACUUUGCCAAAUGUGUUUUUUAUGAGCAACCCUGAAGGACCUCGUAGCUUUUUGGAAGAAGGUUUUAAGGUCUAACUAUUGCGCUCCUUCCAAUGAACGUUAGGUCAAGUUAAACUUUGAUAGAGUAUUCGACAAAAGGCACAGGUGUCAAGGCGUGGAUCCUACACGAUAAUGAUGGGAUUAUAUUGGGGUUUCUUGGUUGAUUGAGGUACAUGCUCAAGUGGUGAUUGAAUGAGAUUCUUCCAAUGUCAUCCAAUGCUACAAAUCCCUACGAACAAUUCCAUGGCAAUAGACUAGAUCAUGGAUGGAAUUAUGUAUUGGG